UUCGCAUAAAAUGAAACAAAAAAUUUUAAAGCUUCGUUAUUGAUUCACCGUUUUAUAUUCCCUUUUGCAUAAAAGUCCAUCAAAAAAAUCCAAAUCUAGAAAAACCGAAAACUAACCAAAACACCGAGACAAAAAAUGCAAGCGAUAGGGAAGUUUUUUACAAAAAAAAUUCGGUACCAAUAACAAGAUAAUUCUUUGCAGUACAAAAAUAAUAUUUCUGUUGGCUUAUUAACAGUAAAAUAAAUUUGAAUCAUUACUAAUACAGAAAUGUUUUUAUUUAACUUGUAAAAGGAUAUAUUACGAAACGAUUUUUAAGAGAGACGUAUAUCGAAAUUAAAGAAUUUCAUCUUCCGGCACUAAAAUUGGAGUGCAAGCAGGAAAAUACAAAAGGAAGAGGAAGCAGACAGACCAUCAAAAUUGAAGACAAAUAGAGUUAAGAUUGCGGGUUUGAGAAUUUCUCUUACAUAUAACCGGAAGCAAAAACUUUUUUAACAAUAGCUUUUACAAAAAGUUCACAAAUCGCUUCAAACUACCCAAGCUGUUUUUACGACAAUGCCAAUUAAUCUAUCAAUCAUUAUAUAUAUCAAGUUCCGCGUGGCUUCACUUUUAAUUGGGAAGAAUUCAUUUAUUGCUGCAUCUUUGAAAGUUUCUCUACGAAUAUAACAUCAACUCACUAUUUUGUCCAAGUCCGUCUUUUAGUGAUAAAUUUAGAGUAUGCGCUACACAAGGAUGUCUAGGUAAAUGAUCGUUUAUAGCCGAUUUUCUAUUUGCGUCAUUAUCUGAAACCACCGUGGCGAUCUUCUGAGCAAUAUGCCACUGAUAAAAAUGUCCAUUAACUGGGAUGCUAAAUCUGAUCCAGUUUGGCUUCCUUGUACUUCACUGGUUUUUAAGGCUCAGGAAUGUAGCUGUGCAUUGUCUAUAAAUUUACUAGUUCCGGUAAUAUAGUGUAGUGUAGAUCUUUUGUUACACUUACAUGAUCUACAGUUUGAUAUGGUUCAGGAGUUAGUUGCAUUUUUCGAGACGGAACCGAAUACAAUGGAUUCAACAAAUUCUCGAAACCCCUUAUCAGGGAUUGAUACAUACAUACAUACAAUCAUUUUCGGUGAGCUGAGUAGUGGAUCUCCAUGAUCCAACAAGAUGUAAUUAUCCUAUGGAUCUUUUUGGCGGUAAAAUUAAUUGCAAUAAUCGCUUUUCUACUAUUCCACUAGUAGAAGCAACAACGCUAAUAGAAGCAACACUCCGUUGCCGUUGGCGAUUUAUUAGAAGUUUUUGCGAAAGUUGAUGGGGCGGACAAUUCGUCGUGCCAGAGUUGGAUCAGUUACUAACAGACAGCUAGGAUGCACUCACUCAUUCUAAAGGGUCUAUAAGAUUGGUGAUAUUCUUAAAAAAUGUGUACUCACAAUGAAGCUGUUAACUCUGGCAAGGCUGAAAAAUGUCGACACCAUUGAUCAUUUUCCUUUGGAACUCAUCCGGCAACAUUUAUUUGAUAUGAAUAUGUUUGUUUCAUGUUAGGCACGAUUUUUAAAUGAAUUGAUUUAUAUGAAAUUAAAUGUGAUUUGACACCACUGGAUAAAAUUACAUUUCUCAGCAAAGCAACAGCGUUGACGCAGAAGCGUUGUAACCUGCUUAUGCGCAGUUUGGUUGUAUUGGUCGUGUUGCUACUGGGUUCGUAUCUGUUGUCUUCGUUAUUGCGUUCUAAGACAUUGUGUGAACAAUCCAAAUAACUUUUAUUAUAUCUGCGUGGUAGUUAUGUACUAAGCAAAGUAAAGCAAAGGCAAACUAUAACUUCUUUUGUGAAAAAUGUAUACCACGCUUAUUUUGGUGUAAAAAUUGGCGACCAAGUCAAGUCCUGGGCUCCUCAUACUGUUUGUUCCGUUUGCGUUGAAGGAUUAAGAAACUUGCAAAAAGGUAGAAAGAAAUGUUUAAGCAAAGUAAUGAUUGUUAUUUUUGUUGGUGUAAUGUUCAAGGAUUCAAUAGAGAAAAUAAGAAACAAAUUGUAUAUCCCAAUCUUGACUCUGCCAUUCGACUUUCCGCCCCAAAAUAACUAGAAAACGUCAUAUAGUCAGAAUCAGAGGAAUCUAAUUCCGACCCAGAUGACUCAGGUCUCUCACCAGAUUUCAGAGAACGCAAAAUGUUUAAUCAGAGCGAAUUAAAUGAUUUACACCUUACAAAGGAUACAUCCGAAUUGUUGGCGUUCACACUUCGUGACAAGCAUUUACUGGCACCUGGCGUCACAUCAAGCUUUUACUGGGAUUGAGAAAAAGAGUUAUGUCAAUCUUUUACUCAGGAGAGACCGCUAGUGUAUUGCAACAAUAUUCCUUAGUUUCAAAAUUAGAAAAUGUGCAGCAUAUAAAAGAAGAAUGACGCCUGUUUAUUCACUCUCACUAAGCGUAGUUUAGCAAGCGGUUUUUUGCAAAGUGGUAACGAACUGGCCUCGGUUCUCGUUGCACAUUCUAUACAUUCAAAAGAAACGCAUGAAAAUUUAGGACUUCUUUUGAAAAAAAUAAAGUACCAAGAAUAUCAGUGGAUGCUUUGUAGUGACCUUAAAGUGCUGAGAUAGUCGGGCAAAAGAUAGACAUUGCCCUCUACAACAGGUCCUACACCUAGUAGCAAAAAUGUUUUAAGAGAUAGCUUAGUUGACCCCAAACAAGUUUUACUGACUCCUUUUUGCAUCAAACUUGGCUUGAUGAAGCAGAAAUUUCCAGCCAUAUCUGAUGCCAAUAUAAAAGACAUGUAAUAUGCGUUUGAAAGUUUAUUUCCUGUUUUCCAAUUUUAACUAUUUUCCUAAAAAUUUUGGAGCAUUUAGUGAAGAACAGGGAAACAGGUUUCACCAGGACGUUGGGGAAAAUGGAACCACGAUACCAAGGCAGAUGGAGCAUAACGAUAAUGGAGGACUACUGCUGGAUGUUAAAACGGGAUGUGCCCUUAAAAACACACAGGUGUCCGGACAAUGCAGCUUUCUGGCGAAAAGAUGAAGAUUUCACUCAAAAAAGUCUGUAAAGUUUUCUUUCACCUUUUUUUUAACUAGGAUUUCACUUUUUUACUGAAUAAAAAAAUAAAUAAUUUUGGAAAUAUCGUGAUACAAAUAAAUGCAUAGAAUUUUUGAAAUCAGCCUACCAAAAUUAUAUAAAAUAAAUUUUCAAAAUAAAAACAUCUGUCAAAAAGUUCAAUUUUGCAGACUUGUGUAAUCGUCCAUCCCUAGUCUUCACACAUGUUGAUGGGAACACGCUACAGAAUAUUACAAGCAUGGCCAUGUGCAAAGAAAUGACAAGACGGCGACCGGAUCGCAACGUUUAUGCCGCCGCAUUCGAUACGCCCGUAACAACCGCGCGCCGCGAUGGCGGCAUUGACCGCCUCUCCGUGCCCGGGCCCCACCGUGCUAGACGCGAACCGCAACGCGACGAGACACGAUCGUUGAGACGGCCGAUUGUACAGCGACGGCGGAAACAACCGUCACCUCUCUCGCUUUAACACCGUGCAGAACCCUCGGGAUUCGUCGGCCCGGUCGCUAGCGACGCCGCUGUUGCGAUCAGCGUUUGCGUUUUAUUUUGAAGGCUCUAGCAACUGGCUGCGGAGAAACGAGUUUGUGGCGGCGGCAGUUCGAUCGCAGACGCAACGUUAAUUCGUCAGACUGUGCGAUGAGAAUGUCUAGGAGGUUCAACUGCACCGACGACAUUUCGUUAGUGAAGCAAGUCGAAAAGUAUCCGAUUUUGUACCACCACAAUCAUGCCGAUUACAGGGACAUGCUGUUGAGGGAAGUAGCGUGGGGUGAGAUCGCGACCGAGAUCGGGAAAGUCGCUGAGGACUGUAAAACUCGCUGGAGAAAUAUACGAGACAAUUACAACAAAAUUAAAAAAAGACUACCGAAAUCAUCUGGAUCGAAAUCACCAAAAUGGGGUCUUUACAAGCACCUCUUAUUUUUGGACAACAAAUGCGACGACUUCAGCACCUUAGGCAAGGCGAAGGAAUCUCCCGACGAAGACGAGGAAUUAGAAAGAGAAUUUAACCAAGAAGAAAGUCGAACAGCAACAAUCAAAACUCGCAAGCAAGGUAAACUUGCCAACAAGUCUAAAUCUGCGGCCGCCGGUCAAAACUCAAAAUUUAAAAAGAAAAAGCUUGUACUUAGUGAUAAUAUUACGGACGGUGCUAACGCAGAUGUUACAAAGUUUAGUAGUACCAACUUAACGUUGUCGGCAGAGGAAAAACUUUUGUUAGACAUACACGAAAGCGAGAACAUGGAAGAGGAUGAAAUUGAUCUAUUUAUGAGAAGCAUUACUGCAACGGUAAAGCGUUUGCCGCCCCAUUUGAUUCCCCAAGCGAAGUUGAAUAUCUUAAGUAUCGUCACGAAUCUUCAGUUGUCCACGUUGACGUCACUGGGUUCGCAAGCACACCCUCAUUCCAACAUUAAAAAGACGAAAGAUCAGGAAACAUUUAAUCCGAUAGAGAAAAUAGAAAUAACUCUGGGCGAGCACAAUUUUUUACACAGCUCCUCGACCGGUAGUCAUUACGUCAACGUUGUAGAAAGCAAGAUAGAAAAGUGUUGAUUUUACCACAAUGCUCCGGAUACUUCACGUUCUGUAUAAAAUUGUUAUUUGUUAGUUAGGACUUAGCAACCGAUAGGUUAUUUGAACGUUUGUUGAUCUCAGUUUAUUAUUACAUUUACCACGAAGAAUGAUCACUUUUAGUUUAGUUACUUAUAUGUAUUUUGGACAAAAACAAUGAAUAAAUAAUGGACAUCCCAAAAAUGCGGCGGAAACUUUCCUUCAAAUACGUCAGAAUACAGUAAAUAAAUAGGAAACGUCAAAUGUAGAAACAAUUCGGAUUACUGUUUUGCUGCAUUCAUGGGAUCUAGCUAGACUAAUACAAGAGCAUUAGUUAGUAGAAGAGAGCUCGCAAAUAUUCUAAUUGGUUUUCUGGAUAGAUUCAUAGGUAACUCAACGCAAAUCGUGAUUCAAAAUUUCGUCACUUUUUAUCGUUAUUUUGCUAACUCAAAUUCGACGUUUCCUCGACAUCAUCAUAAUGAAGUUUCGGAGUAAAAAUGAAGACAGAAAAACGUGUAGUGAUAUAUCUGGAUGACUGGUACAUUUAGGAGCUGUUUUGGAUUAAAUGAUUUGUGCUAAAGGAGUGUUGAUAUUUCUUAGUUCACACAGAUACUUGGAAAAUCCUUACCAUAUGAAGUAUUUAGUAAAUAUACAGUGUGUUCCAAUUAAGAAGUGUACAGGCUUGUGAAAUCUUUGUCAUGGGUUGAUUUUGAUUUUUUUGUUGUUGGAUAGAACCCUGAAAAAUGCACUAAAAUCUUGUUUUGCUUAUUGAUUCAACUUAAAGUCACGGCCAUUUUAAAAAAAUAUCCAAUCCAACUAUACCAAUUUUUUUAAUUUUUCAAUACGGUGUACGUCGUUGUAAAAUCUUUGAUUACGAUAUAAUUUUGAGAACUUGUUUUUGUUGACUACAUCAACCUAAAGUCAUGGCUAACUGGGACUAAUUUUUGAUGCCAAAUAUUGCGAAAGGCUAUUAGGGAUUUCUUUAAGAAGAAAGUGACAACGAAUUUUUAUUCAGGACUACAUUAAACCUAACUAUACUAAUUUUUUAUGGCUCAAUUUGGAUCUUUUUUUUUUGCUGGAUAGAUCUUACUAAAGAGAAAUGAAACGGUUUUUUUGUAUAGCAUCGACUAAAGUCAUGGCUAACACACAGUUUUUGAAGUGGAAAAUCGGGAAGAAUUUUUAGAGAUUUUUUCAAGUAGAAAAUGACGAGACCCGUGUUCAGGACUACCUAAAAGUACCUAAACCAAUGACCAAAAUUUUUUAUGUUUUAAAAAAAUAAAUAUAUAUUGUAAACCUUGUAAAUAACGAUUAUUUGGUAUGUGUUUUUAAGAUCUUACAAAUUUUAAUUAUACAAAUUUCAAAAGUAAUGACCAAGAGGGCUUUUUAAGGGACCUUUAUUUUUUAGUAUCAUUUUAACGCAACAGCAUUAAUGAAUCUAAGUAUUCGAAAGAUAGAAUAUAAACAAAAUUACAAUAUAAAUUGGUUUUACAAAGGAAACGGUAUGUUAUUUUCAUUAUUAGAUGAAAAUUAAAAAUCCCUUUAAAAAAAUACAGCAUUGUAAAGUCUGUUUAGUUCGUAUCUAAUCAUCUCUAAUCAUAUUUAAUUUUAAUAACAUCGUUAAUGUCUUUCAGUGAAAUCUAUCCAACAAAAAAGAGUUGUCAAAAUUGAGUGAUAAACAAAUAUUAAGUAAGGCGCCCGCGAUAUUUCGAGCACCCUGUAUUCGAACUUUAUGGAAAUUAGUUUAGUUAGUUUAGUGUAGUUCUGAACAAGAAUUCGUUGACACUUAAUUCUAAUAGCUUUUCUCGAUAUUUGACAUCAAAAAUUAGUCCCAGUUAGCCAUGACUUCAGGUUAAUGUAAUAAAUUCGUUAUAUAUUUUUAUUCGUUAUAACAUAAUGUAAGUUUGCGAUUGGACAAGAAUUUUAUAAUAUUUAUAUAUUUUCGUGCACUUUAAUCAAAAUGAAAAUAUUAACUUAUUAAUAACCUUAAAAUGUCUGCAUUUUGAACACGUAAAACUACCCAACAUGGCUAAAAAUGACGUCAUUCGCACAAUCACUCAUUAUAACUUCACAUAACAUUUUAUAUCUGGUUCACAAAUAUAGACGAAGCUAAUUUUCAUGUG